rnacentral:rRNA from 1 species
CCAGACUCCUACGGGAGGCAGCAGUGGGGAAUAUUGCACAAUGGGGGAAACCCUGAUGCAGCGACGCCGCGUGGGUGAAGGAGUAUUUCGGUAUGUAAAGCCCUAUCGGCAGGGAAGAAGCAAGACGGUACCUGACUAAGAAGCCCCGGCUAACUACGUGCCAGCAGCCGCGGUAAUACGUAGGGGGCGAGCGUUAUCCGGAUUCACUGGGUGUAAAGGGAGCGUAGACGGCCAAGCAAGCCAGGGGUGAAAGCCCGGGGGCCAACCCCGGGACUGCCCUUGGAACUGCUUGGCUGGAGUGCGGGAGGGGCAGGCGGAAUUCCUGGUGUAGCGGCGAAAUGCGUAGAUAUCAGGAGGAACACCGGCGGCGAAGGCGGCCUGCUGGACCGCGACUGACGUUGAGGCUCGAGAGCGUGGGGAGCAAACAGGAUUAGAUACCCGAGUACA